UGUGCACAAAACCUUGCCGAUAUGUCCGGAGCUGGACUGCCCGCGCACUGUAUCCUGCCCCCUAAAGCCACCCCUAAAAUGUUGAAGUAGUAGCGUCCAGCCGGUCCCUCACUUUGGCGUGUAACUGAAUAGCCUGUCUCUAUUUUAUUAAUAGAGCCAGUUCACCAGCAGCCUCGAUAAAAGCUUCUUUUCAAUCUAACAGUCCUUGAGAAGAAUUCUUGUUUUUUGGCAGAAACGUGACUUACGAUAGAACGCGGUAAAAUGUAUUUCUGUGCAGCAGGUUUUAAAGUGCCACUCCUCCUUCAGUAAAGCCUCGCAGGCCAUCAUCACCCACCUCAUCAUGAACCUGUAUGUGGUAUUCACCUUCAUUAUCAUGCUCUGUGACUCUACAUAUCCAGUAUCUAGCAAGAGCUGCAACGAUGGCCCUGACCCUGUUCUCAAGUGCUGUGGUGGUGUGGUCAUUAACACAACUACUCAUCUAUGCUGUGGAAGGCACGGGCAUAAAGUGAAAUCGGAAAAGAUGCACAAUGGUGCUUGUUGUGGAAACACCUCCUAUGAUCGAAUCCAGGAAUGUUGCUGCAGCUCUGGAGACCGUCUGGAAGUCAAACCCCGGGAACUGGACAGCGAUUGCUGCAAGCAGGAUGUCCUGACGGUUCAAGACUCUACAUAUCCAGUAUCUAGCAAGAGCUGCAACGAUGGCCCUGACCCUGUUCUCAAGUGCUGUGGUGGUGUGGUCAUUAACACUACUACUCAUCUAUGCUGUGGAAGGCACGGGCAUAAAGUGAAAUCGGAAAAGAUGCACAAUGGUGCUUGUUGUGGAAACACCUCCUAUGAUCGAAUCCACGAAUGUUGCUGCAGCUCUGGAGACCGUCUGGAAGUCAAACCCCGGGAACUGGACAGCGAUUGCUGCAAGCAGGAUGCCCUGACGGUUCAAGGUUUCCAUUUGAAGAACUUGACUGCUAAAAUAUGCCACAAAAACGUGGUCCUGGGAACAGUGGCUAAUGUGUCUCAGAGUCAGGGCCAGUGCUCUGCGGAAAUCAAGAGUGUCCUGCUGAUUCAAGGAUGGACCAUCAUACCCAAGCCUAACUUUCACCAGCCUCUGGGCAACUGCAGCCUCCAUCUGAUGAAGCAGAACCAGACCUACCUCUGGGCCAUGUCUAACGGUCAUCUCCUGCUUAUAUCUGAUCUCAGCAGCAUGCCCUCACCAGUUUACUCGGUGCUGUUUCUUUGCCGGGACGUGUUUGCCAAAUUUUAUGACACUCAGCAAGUUCUUCGCCCAGCCACUAUUGAUCCAAAUUAACCAAGCAUUAUAUAAUCAACUUUUAUUCAGUGGCUUACAGUACAAACAGUACAGUUUGCUUUAACUUAAGUAUUUAAUAACAGUUCUCUUAAGGAAUAUAUUUAAACAUUCAAAACUCUGAAGCCUUAUUAAUUUUAGGCAAUACAAGGCUCCCAACUAAGUGGCGGAGAGAUAUGGGCACAUGAGUGUGUUUGAUUUCUGAUGGUGCAAGGCUUGGAUAAAUGGGAAACUUCACACUGCCAAUAGUGCAGUUUAUUUUUGUUCUUCCUCAUCCCCUCUCUUCCAUUCCAUCUCUAUGCAGGUUUGUGGAUUUAGUGGGUUUUUUCUCUCUCUCUCUCUUUUUCUCUCUCUUCUCUUGUACUCUGCUUCUUUACCUCUGUAGCAUGCUCAAUAAACACUUCAGCUGCUCUGUAUCCA
ensembl:lncRNA galaxin-like